rnacentral:rRNA from 1 species
GACGAACGCUGGCGGCGUGCUUAACACAUGCAAGUCGAACGGAAAGGCCCUGCUUUUGUGGUGUGCUCGAGUGGCGAACGGGUGAGUAACACGUGAGUAACCUGCCCUAGACUUUGGGAUAACUUCAGAAAACGGGGGCUAAUACCGGAUAGGAGUCCCUCCUGCAGGGUGGGGGUGGGAAAGUUUCGGCGGUUGGGGAUGGACUCGCGGCUUAUCAGCUUGUUGGUGGGGUAGUGGCUUACCAAGGCUUUGACGGGUAGCCGGCCUGAGAGGGUGACCGGCCACAUUGGGACUGAGAUACGGCCCAGACUCCUACGGGAGGCAGCAGUGGGGAAUAUUGCACAAUGGGCGGAAGCCUGAUGCAGCAACGCCGCGUGCGGGAUGACGGCCUUCGGGUUGUAAACCGCUUUCGCCUGUGACGAAGCGUGAGUGACGGUAAUGGGUAAAGAAGCACCGGCUAACUACGUG